ACAACAUUGACCCUUCGGGUGAUUUGUUGGGCGUCGAGCGGCGGACGGNUGAGUAAUGCCUGGGAAAUUGCCCUGAUGUGGGGGAUAACCAUUGNAAACGAUGGCUAAUACCGCAUANUGUCUACGGACCANAGAGGGGGACCUUCGGGCCUCUCGCUUCNNGAUAUGCCCAGGUGGNAUUANCUAGUUGGUGAGGUAAUGGNUCACCAAGGCGACGAUCCCUAGCUGGUCUGAGAGGAUGAUCANCCACACUGGAACUGANACACGGUCCAGACUCCUACGGGAGGCANCANUGGGGAAUAUUGCNCAAUGGGCGCAAGCCUGAUGCANCCAUGCCGCGUGUAUGAAGAANGCCUUCGGGUUGUAAAGUACUUNC
rnacentral:rRNA from 1 species